CCUCCUUUGCAGCGCCGCCUAGUGUCCAAAACGGCACCGCGUGUUGAAUUAGCUGGUUGUGGAAGUGACCGCGCUUGGUGUGGGUCAAAUAUCAAAAGAACGGAAGAUCAUUAGAGCAGCCUUCUGGCGCCGCUUUAAAGGCUGCAGUUCUUAACCCUGCUUUUCUGAACAGAAGAAAUUUCGAGGUUUCAUGCAUCUAUAACGAAAAAGCCUUCAGAAUCUGCUUGGUCUCCUUCUUCAUCAUACUCCAGGUCGGUGGAAAUCAGCAAAUAGCCCUGAGAAGAUAUACAAACAUUUAUUUGAAGUUGCCACAAGCUGCAGCUUGCUAAUGGCUUGGCCAUGACUAAUACACCUUCAGAGGUAUUGUGAACUGAAUGUUAGACAUACAUUGUCAUUUAACAGAAAGAGUGUAAGCACUGCUGAUGUGUAACUGACAUGGAUGUCAAUAAAGUAGAAGGAUGUUGCACAGCA